rnacentral:rRNA from 1 species
UUCCGGUUGAUCCCGCCGGACCUGACUGCUAUCGGAUUGAUACUAAGCCAUGCGAGUCAUUGUAGCAAUACAAGGCAGACGGCUCAGUAACGCGUAGUCAACCUACCCUAUGGACGGGGAUAACCUCGGGAAACUGAGAAUAAUACCCGAUAGAACAUUAUGCCUGGAAUGGUUUAUGUUUCAAAUAAUUUAUUGCCGUAGGAUGGGACUGCGGCCUAUCAGUUUGUUGGUGAGGUAAUGGCCCACCAAGGCUAUAACAGAUACGGGCUCUGAGAGGAGAAGCCCGGAGAUGGGUACUGAGACACGGACCCAGGCCCUAUGGGGCGCAGCAGGCGAGAAAACUUUGCAAUGUGCGAAAGCACGACAAGGUUAAUCCGAGUGUUUUCUGCUAAAGAAAUCUUUUGUUAGUUCUAAAACCACUAUCGAAUAAGGGGUGGGCAAGUUCUGGUGUCAGCCGCCGCGGUAAAACCAGCACCUCAAGUGGUCAGGAGGUUUAUUGGGCCUAAAGCAUCCGUAGCCUGAUCUAUAAGUUUCCGGUUAAAUCCACAUGCUCAACAUUUGGGCUGCCGGAAAAACUGUAGAUCUAGGGAGUGGGAGAGGUAGACGGUACUCGGGAGGAAGUGGUAAAAUGCUUUGAUCUUUCGAUGACCACCUGUGGCGAAGGCGGUCUACCAGAACACGUCCGACGGUGAGGGAUGAAAGCUGGGGGAGCAAACCGGAUUAGAUACCCGGGUAGUCCCAGCUGUAAACUAUGCAAACUCAGUGAUGCAUUGGCUUGUGGCCAAUGCAGUGUUGCAGGGAAGCCGUUAAGUUUGCCGCCUGGGAAGUACGUACGCAAGUAUGAAACUUAAAGGAAUUGGCGGGGGAGCACCACAAGGGGUGAAGCCUGCGGUUCAAUUGGAGUCAACGCCGGGA